AACGAACGCUGGCGGCAGGCCUAACACAUGCAAGUCGAGCGCCCCGCAAGGGGAGCGGCGGACGGGUGAGUAACGCGUGGGAACGUGCCCUUUGCUACGGAAUAGCCUCGGGAAACUGGGCGUAAUACCGUCUAAGCCCUACGGGGGAAAGAUUUAUCGGCAAAGGAUCGGACCGCGUUGGAUUAGGUAGUUGGUGGGGUAAUGGCCUACCAAGCCGACGAUCCAUAGCUGGUUUGAGAGGAUGAUCAGCCACACUGGGACUGAGACACGGCCCAGACUCCUACGGGAGGCAGCAGUGGGGAAUCUUAGACAAUGGGCGCAAGCCUGAUCUAGCCAUGCCGCGUGAGCGAUGAAGGCCUUAGGGUUGUAAAGCUCUUUCGUGGGGGAAGAUAAUGACUGUACCCCAAGAAGAAGCCCCGGCUAACUCCGUGCCAGCCGCCGCAGUAA
rnacentral:rRNA from 1 species